rnacentral:tRNA from 1 species
GGGCUCAUCGUCUAAUGGAAGGACAGGAACCUUCUAAGUUUCUAAUGAAGGUUCGAUUCCUUCUGAGCCUA